rnacentral:rRNA from 1 species
CGAUCUGAGCUCAGGCAAGAUUACCCGCUGAACUUAAGCAUAUCAAUAAGCGGAGGA